AUGCUAGGGCCAUCGGUGAAGCGGCUGGCGUGGCUGGCCGCCACGAGGCCGCUGGAGAAGGCCGGGAUGGUUUUGGUCCUCGCCGCGAUGGUGUUCUCCGCCGCCGCCGCCGCGCUGCUGCUGCUCGCCUGCCCCGCGUCGUCCCGCUGUUCGACGGCCGUCGGGUCCGCCCUGUCGGCGCCUAAGAAGCUCUGGGGCUGCGGGGCCUCUGUCGCGCCCGGUGCGGUGGCGCGGGAGUGCGACUUCUUCGACGGGGAGUGGGUGCGGGACGACAGCUACCCGCUCUACGAGUCCAAGGACUGCCCGUUCCUCGACGGCGGGUUCCGGUGCUCGGAGAACGGCCGCCCCGACGCCUCCUACACCAGAUGGCGGUGGCAGCCGUCGUGCUGCGAUCUCCCCAGGUUUGAUGCUAAGAGUAUGCUAGAGAGGCUACGAAACAAAAGAGUGGUAUUCGUCGGCGAUUCGAUUGGAAGGAACCAAUGGGAGUCUCUGCUCUGUAUGCUCUCUACGGCUGUUCUAGACAAGAGCUCCAUCUAUGAGAUCAAUGGCAGACCCAUCACAAAGCAUGAUGGAUUCUUUAUAUUCAAGUUCAGAGACUACAAUUGCACGGUUGAAUAUUACAGGUCUCCUUUUCUGGUCCCGCAAGGUCAUGGACCGGCUGGAGCCCCAAAGUUUGUUAAGAGUACCGUCAGGGUGGAUUCCAUGGAUUGGAUGUCUGGACGGGGUAAGUGGAGAGAUGCUGACAUGCUCAUCUUCAACUCUGGGCAUUGGUGGACAAAAGACAAAACAAUUGGAUGGGGUGCGUAUUUUCAAGAAGGGAACGAGGUGAAGAUGGAUAUGAGCGUCAGCGAUGCUUACAGAAGAUCAAUAAAAACACUGUUCGACUGGCUUCAGAAAAAUGUUAAUGCAAACAAGACCCAGGCCAUCUUCCGUACCUAUUCUCCUACACACUUCAGCGGUGGUGACUGGAAUUCUGGAGGGUUUUGUCAGCAAGAAACACUUCCAGACAUGACACCGUUCAAAUCGCUGGAGCAAUGGGCCGACAUGCUGAAACCCGUGAGAGAUAUUCUAGGGAGCCAUCACAGGCCCAAGCUGCCUGGGCUGGAUAUACUGAACGUGACCCAGAUGACGGCCCAACGAAAAGACGGCCACCUCUCAGUGUUCAGAAGUCCUCUGAGUUCAAGGCAAGCCCUUAUCAACAAGACAUCAGAAAUUAAAGAGGUAGAGGAUUGCAGCCACUGGUGCCUGCCCGGAGUCCCUGAUGUCUGGAAUGAGCUUCUCUACGCCCUCUUCAUGAAAAGGCAAAUCAUGUUGGACCAAAAUGUCUCCAUUUCUGGCUCGAGAACACUGAUCACUGAUCGACAAAGUAUAGGGGAUAUAUCCACGUGA
rnacentral:rRNA from 1 species